rnacentral:rRNA from 1 species
UAUUAAAGGCGACGCCUGCCCAGUGAACAAUUAAACGGCCGCGGUACCCUAACCGUGCAAAGGUAGCGUAAUCAUUUGCUUAUUAAUUGUAAGCCUGUAUGAAAGGCAAAAUGAGGGCCUAACUGUCUCUUAUAAUAAAUCAAUUAAACUGAUCUUCCAGUACAAAAGCUGGAAUACCGACAUAAGACCAGAAGACCCUGUGAAGCUUAAACUAAACUAUUAAAUCAAAUAAUAACUACUUUCGGUUGGGGCGACCUUGGAAAAAAAAAGAACUUCCAAAUAAGACCCAGCACAGCUGACAAAUGAACCAAGUUACUCCAGGGAUAACAGCGCUAUCUUCUUCAAGAGCCCAUAUCAAAAAGAAGGUUUACGACCUCGAUGUUGGAUCAGGACAUCCUAUUGGUGCAGCCGCUAUUAAAGGUUCGUUUGUUCAACGAUUAAC